AUUGAACGCUGGCGGCAGGCCUAACACAUGCAAGUCGAGCGGAUGAAGGGAGCUUGCUCCUGGAUUCAGCGGCGGACGGGUGAGUAAUGCUUAGGAAUCUGCCUGGUAGUGGGGGAUAACGUCCGGAAACGGGCGCUAAUACCGCAUACGUCCUGAGGGAGAAAGUGGGGGAUCUUCGGACCUCACGCUAUCAGAUGAGCCUAGGUCGGAUUAGCUAGUUGGUGGGGUAAAGGCCUGCCAAGGCGACGAUCCGUAACUGGUCUGAGAGGAUGAUCAGUCACACUGGAACUGAGACACGGUCCAGACUCCUACGGGAGGCAGCAGUGGGGAAUAUUGGACAAUGGGCGAAAGCCUGAUCCAGCCAUGCCGCGUGUGUGAAGAAGGUCUUCGGAUUGUAAAGCACUUUAAGUUGGGAGGAAGGGCAGUAAGUUAAUACCUUGCUGUUUUGACGUUACCAACAGAAUAAGCACCGGCUAACUUCGUG
rnacentral:rRNA from 1 species